rnacentral:rRNA from 1 species
AGAGUUUGAUCCUGGCUCAGAACGAACGCUGGCGGCGUGCCUAACACAUGCAAGUCGAACGUGAAAGGGCUUCGGCCUGAGUAAAGUGGCGCACGGGUGAGUAACGCGUGGGUAAUCUGCCUCCGGGCGGGGGAUAACGGGUCGAAAGACCCGCUAAUACCGCAUGAGACCACGGCCUCGAGGGGUUGUGGGAAAAGAUGGGGAUCUUCGGACCUGUCACCUGGAGAUGAGCCCGCGUACCAUUAGGUAGUUGGUGGGGUAAUGGCCCACCAAGCCGAAGAUGGUUAGCUGGUCUGAGAGGAUGAUCAGCCACACUGGAACUGAGACACGGUCCAGACUCCUACGGGAGGCAGCAGUGGGGAAUAUUGCGCAAUGGGGGAAACCCUGACGCAGCAACGCCGCGUGUGUGAUGAAGGCCUUCGGGUCGUAAAGCACUGUGAGGUGGAACGAGCCGCCGGGGGCUAAUACCCUUCGGCCCGACGGUACCACCAGAGGAAGCACCGGCUAACCCUGUGCCAGCAGCCGCGGUAAUACAGGGGGUGCAAGCGUUGUUCGGAAUUAUUGGGCGUAAAGCGCGUGUAGGCGGACCACUAAGUCCGGUGUGAAAUCCCUCGGCUUAACCGAGGACGUGCAUUGGAUACUGGUGGCCUUGAGUCCUGGAGAGGGUAGCGGAAUUCCCAGUGUAGAGGUGAAAUUCGUAGAUAUUGGGAGGAACACCGGUGGCGAAGGCGGCUACCUGGACAGUGACUGACGCUGAGACGCGAAAGCAUGGGUAGCAAACAGGAUUAGAUACCCUGGUAGUCC